UAGUAGAGACGGGGGUUUCCCAUGUUGGCCAGGCUGGCCUUGAACUCCUGAUCUCAUGUGACUUUCCCACCUUUGCCUCCCAAAGUGCUGGGAUUACAGGCGUGAGCCACCAGCCCAGCCCCUACAAUGACUUUUUACAAUUAAUUUGUUCUUUUGACAGUUUACUCAGACCCCGUAGAUUCUCUUUUAGCCUUUGCAUCACAUUUGGAAAAUAAUUAUUUGGAAAAAUCUUGCUUUUUCAUAAGUAGGUAAUGUAGUACAAUUUUGGUACUUGUAAGAUAUUGCUCCCGUUUCAAGAACUAGUAAUUAUCCAAAAAAAGUGUUCUUGUCUUGAAAAGAAAAACUUGCUAAUGUUGAAGUUCAAUAAAUUUAUAAUAAUAUCA